ensembl:lncRNA
CCCUCCCUCCCUUUACCCCCAGUUUUGAAAAGUCGAGAUAAUGUGAGCAGUGUUUCCAUCAGGGCACUCUGGCCAACAAGAGACCACUGUCAGCGAUGGCCGUACAGCAGUGCACACACGUCUCCUCCUCAGAGCCCUCCGCCCUGCUUAAAGCCGUGGAUCAAACCCACAACCACAGGGCACGACAUCUUCCCAGUUGCUACAAAAAUAAGAAAUAAAAGGAAAGAAGGAUGGGAUGGGAGGCGCGGCAGGCGGGCUGCGGGAAGAUGCGGCGUGCGGCGGGCCGGGAGCCGUCCCAUUGUCCCGGGCUCAGAAGACCUCCGCUGCCCGCAGGGGCUGCACACGACGCCUCUCGCCCGAACCCCGCGAGCCCCGGCCACGGCCUCGGGUCCGCACUCGAUCCCCACACAAACGUCCACGCAUGUCCGGGUCACAGCGUGUUGCUUCAGCCCAGGACAGCGCAGAGGUGCCUGGGGCCCAGCCGACGGCCAUCGCUCCCUCCCCGCCGCCCUUUGGCUCCCCAGGGGACCAUCAGUCCCCCCCUCCUUUUUUUGGGGGGGGGGCGGGGUGUUUUAUUUCACCAUUACUCAGCCGCUGUGUGUGCUGCGGGACCGGGCCCACGCGUGACUCCAUGGACAGACAGGCGGGUCCCCGCUUUCGUUCUACUCUGGUCUUUUUUUUUUUCCUCCCUCGGGUUAUCCUGGGGAAUCAGGUCUCUCCUGAAGGUCUGCACCCGCUCUGCACAAAGAGACAGAAGAGAAGGGGUUGGGACUCAGCUCCGAAGGCCAAAGAGCUCUUUAAACCCCCGGGCUGCAACCACACCGCCGCUCUGAGCGGCGCUUCAGGGGCCGGAGAGCCGCGCAACUCCCGACACAGCGCUGCGGCUCCGUGGAGCGAUAAAUAACGCCGCUCAGGUACUUUUUCUUUCAGAGAACCAUACAAAUUGGCCCGUGUUGACAGAUGUUUGUCACUUAGUAACUUCUUUCCAAGUUUUUUUUUUUUUUUUUUUUUUUCCCCUCCCUCUUCCCUCCUCUAAGCCUUCUUCCGAGCCCGCUUUGUUGUUUUAAAAUAUGCAUGUCUCUCAGGAAUGCGAGUCACGAGUCCAAACUUCGUGUCCAACCUCCCACAAGAAAUGAUCCUUUUAUAGGGAACCCGAUAUGUCUCAAUCUGCACUUCACUCAAAGCCGCUGGAUAUAGGGCGCCGCUCCCUGCGCGCAAAUCACCGCGCCGAAGCGCAUUUCCACCCCCAUCCCCCCCCCCCCCCCCCAAAAAAAAAACCCACAACCAAACUACUAAACAAACAAACAAACAAAAAAAAACCCACGCAUGGCUCCCGGUGAGGAAAUACAGCUCCCAUGGUAUGGUGAGAAGGGAGUGCAGCCUGGAGGAAGGAAAAAAAUACUUAAGAAAGGGAAAAUAAGGAAAAAAAGGAGGGGAGAAGGGAAGUUUUAUUCCUGCGCACGCCGCGCAGGGCCAUCGCAAGCAGUGGGUUUGCCAAGGACGUGCCCCUGCGCAGCUCCGGGUGCGUGGGGAGAAGACGUCAGCUCGUGGCGAGCGGAGGAGAGAUGGAAGAGCAGAGCCCAACUUCGGGAAAAGAAACAAUUUCCCAGCACUUCCAGCACGCACGCAGGGUGCCGCCGGGGGGGAGGGCUCAACCGCUGCCCGCUUCCCAUCAGAGAAGCCCUUCCUCCCCCAUCUGCACCAGGAGAGAAGUUCGCAGGGUGCGCGCCACAGCUGCGGGAUCCACAGCAAAUGCUGCGGUACGGCAAUGGCUCUCUUCAUGCUUGUAUGCCCGUCUGUGCCUGACACCCACAUCUUCACACGGGGCCAGGAGGGAGAGAGCUCAUGAGGACGAAUAAAGGUGCUUGGAACGAGUGGAACUGCACCCAUCGGCCAGUGCGGGCUCGGAGAUCAUCUGCGUCUUCCCAUUUGGCCACUUUUUGUUUUUGCCACCAUUGAAAUGACAGUACUUAGGACGGCGAAAUGCGGAGAUGCAGUAAAGCUGCUUGUCUGAAUCCACUUUGAAGUAAUAAUGCUGUUGGUCUGAAAUCCAGAUCUGCCCGCUAAUCUCUGGUUUUGCCUUCAAACGGAAUUCAGAUACAAAGAGCUUGGAAAGAUUUUGCGUCUAUUCAAGAGGCACAAAAUCUUUAAUUUUCUGAGGAGCAAAAACUCCCCAAGAAACUUCAUAUAGCUCCUUGGGUUUUGCUUAGCAUACGUGAUAAAACAUUGAUUGUCGCAGUCUGGUGACCCAUGAAAUUUGGGGGUUAGUUUUCUCUUCAGACCAGAGCAUAUAAUUAUGCAAAUAAAGAGCUGUCACCGAUCUAGUGAAAUACUCACAAACACACGCAAUCCGAAAUGGAACAGAAAUGUGAAAAUUUGCGGCAUUACGAUGGUGCAAUGAUAAAUGACAUCUCCUCCCAACUUUCUAGAGAAGUGCAUUAUUUCACACUUUGUCGACACAAUGCGGGCGCGCACCGAGGCGCGCACACCCGUCCCUGCAGGAUCCGGGUACCCGG